rnacentral:rRNA from 1 species
UACGGAGGGUGCGAGCGUUAAUCGGAAUUACUGGGCGUAAAGCGUGCGUAGGCGGCUGUUUAAGUCAGAUGUGAAAGCCCCGGGCUUAACCUGGGAACGGCAUUUGAUACUGGGCAGCUAGAGUUUAGGAGAGGAGAGUGGAAUUUCCGGUGUAGCGGUGAAAUGCGUAGAGAUCGGAAGGAACACCAGUGGCGAAGGCGGCUCUCUGGCCUAAAACUGACGCUGAGGUACGAAAGCGUGGGUAGCAAACAGGAUUAGAUACCCUGGUAGUCCACGCCGUAAACGAUGUCAACUAGCCGUUGGGUCUUUAUUAAGACUUAGUGGUGCAGCUAACGCAUUAAGUUGACCGCCUGGGGAGUACGGCCGCAAGGUUAAA